UUAUUAAUUUUUUUUACGGAAUCCCACGUUUUAGGCUAUGGAGAUUCCGAUUCUGAAAAAAAAAUUUUUGAAAAAUUUCAAUUCCCCUCCCCCCACCAAGCAGGCUAUUUACAUGCUAGAAAUAACAGCCAAAUCUCACAAAACUAGUGUUAGGGUUAGGUUUAGGGUUAGGGUUAGGGUUUGAGUUAGGGUUAGGUUUACCCUGUGGAUCUAUAUAAAAACCGGGGGGGGGGGAUCGAAAUUUUGAAAUUGAGAUUUUUGAAAAUUUUUUUCCAGAAUCGGAUUCUCCAUGGUCUGAAACAUAGGAUUCCGUAAAAAAAAACAAAA